UACAGAGGUGGCAAGCGUUGUUCGGAAUUACUGGGCGUAAAGAGCUCGUAGGUGGUUUGUCGCGUUGUCCGUGAAAACUCACAGCUCAACUGUGGGCGUGCGGGCGAUACGGGCAGACUGGAGUACUGCAGGGGAGACUGGAAUUCCUGGUGUAGCGGUGGAAUGCGCAGAUAUCAGGAGGAACACCGGUGGCGAAGGCGGGUCUCUGGGCAGUAACUGACGCUGAGGAGCGAAAGCGUGGGGAGCGAACAGG
rnacentral:rRNA from 1 species